GGAGAGGUGCCCGAGUGGUUUAAGGGAACGGUCUUGAAAACCGUCCUGGCGCCUGUCGCCAGCGUGGGUUCGAAUCCCACCCUCUCCG
rnacentral:tRNA from 1 species